AAGUCGAGCGAACGGACGAGAAGCUUGCUUCUCUGAUGUUAGCGGCGGAUGGGUGAGUAACACGUGGAUAACCUACCUAUAAGACUGGGAUAACUUCGGGAAACCGGAGCUAAUACCGGAUAAUAUUUUGAACCGCAUGGUUCAAAAGUGAAAGACGGUCUUGCUGUCACUUAUAGAUGGAUCCGCGCUGCAUUAGCUAGUUGGUAAGGUACCGGCUUACCAAGGCAACGAUGCAUAGCCGACCUGAGAGGGUGAUCGGCCACACUGGAACUGAGGCACGGUCCAGACUCCUACGGGAGGCAGCAGUAGGGAAUCUUCCGCAAUGGGCGAAAGCCUGACGGAGCAACGCCGCGUGAGUGAUGAAGGUCUUCGGAUCGUAAAACUCUGUUAUUAGGGAAGAACAUAUGUGUAAGUAACUGUGCACAUCUUGACGGUACCUAAUCAGAAAGCCACGGCUAACUACGUGCCAGCAGCCGCGGUAAUACGUAGGUGGCAAGCGUUAUCCGGAAUUAUUGGGCGUAAAGCGCGCGUAGGCGGUUUUUUAAGUCUGAUGUGAAAGCCCACGGCUCAACCGUGGAGGGUCAUUGGAAACUGGAAAACUUGAGUGCAGAAGAGGAAAGUGGAAUUCCAUGUGUAGCGGUGAAAUGCGCAGAGAUAUGGAGGAACACCAGUGGCGAAGGCGACUUUCUGGUCUGUAACUGACGCUGAUGUGCGAAAGCGUGGGGAU
rnacentral:rRNA from 1 species